rnacentral:rRNA from 1 species
CACGUAGGGCGCAAGCGUUGUCCGGAAUUAUUGGGCGUAAAGAGCUCGUAGGCGGACUGUCACGUCCGCUGUGAAAAGCUAGGGCUUAACCCUGGCCUUGCAGUGGAUACGGGCAGACUAGAGGUAGGUAAGGGAGAAUGGAAUUCCCGGUGUAGCGGUGAAAUGCGCAGAUAUCGGGAGGAACACCGGUGGCGAAGGCGGUUCUCUGGGCCUUACCUGACGCUGAGGAGCGAAAGCGUGGGGAGCGAACAGG